UUGACAGGCUCUGCAGUUAGACUGAAAUGCUGUCAAGCUUUAUGUCGCUGUUUAAGUGUUCAAACAUAUUAAUAUAAACUAUAUUAACUCAUUUCCGUAGAUAUUAUAUCUUGUGUUUCUUUCGAUGAACAAAACGGCUUUGAAAAGAGACCUUACGGAAGCUAGGAAAAAAAGCUUCUCCAGCCUUACGGCAGGGGGUGCUAGUGAGCCGGCAUGCUUUAUGCGCCUACCUGUAGAAGAAGAGAUGUCCACUUCCAAUUUACAGAGAACAGCUGAGGAGCUGUCGUCCAUUUAUUUCGUUUUACAUUCAUUUCGUUUUACAAUGGAGGAUUACAAACGAUUUUCAACGAUGGAUUUUCGGUUGAAGCAGGAGGUCAUCGGUAAAGGAAGAGCAGCUCCGGAGUUAAAAGGUUGGUGAUUCGGACAACGGGACUUCGGAGCAAACGGAGUGGAAUCCCUUUUUAAACACACAACGAAAGCAGAGCUAAUGUUGGAAUUAAGUCUACAGAGUCAAAGCCUCGCCUGGAGCGGAAGAAGAGGACGAAGAGGAGGAUUAGGCCAGAUAGGAUUUGGUUCAGAUGAAGAGGAUCAUGCAGAAGUAGUAGCACGCUAAGGAGCAGUCAGUGAGUCCGAGCGUAAAAGGGAGCCAGUCAGUCAUGGCGGCUCGUAUGACCGCCGAGCGAGCAAGAAGCCUGAACUGGAAAAUGGGGCGUGGCAAGAAGGGUGUGUGUUUUCUCAGCAAAUCAGCACUCUUCCUUUUUCCACUGGCUCCAUGUGGCCUGCAGGAAAGAGGCUCUUGUGUCCUUUCUGCCCUCCGCUGUCCCACUAAACUUCUUGUCCGUGUUGCCAAAACUUCCUCGCUACGUUUUGGGGAACGGACGUUUGUUAGAUGAAUAAAAUGGUCUAUUUCAAACGCUAGGCUCACAAAGGAUGGACGGCUAAUACUAAAAAUGAAUAACUCCAGUUGGCAGUUAUGUCAACCAAAUAAAUGUAAAAUAAAUCCCCCCCAAAUUGAUUCUAAAUCCCAC